rnacentral:SRP_RNA from 13 species
CGCCUCCACCGGGAUGCCGCGAACCUCGCCAGAGCCGGCGCAGGCGACGGCUGCAAGCAGCAGCUCGAGCGGCCCCUCGCCCUCGCCCUCGAUGCAGCCGAG